rnacentral:lncRNA from 1 species
CAUCAACUGAUGAGGUGUAGCUUUACAUUGUAGAUGAUAUAAUUUGUCUUGUCACUAGCAUUUUAUGUGACCAGCAGAAUUCCCCAGGUCUCAGUUUUACCUCCUAGAUUAAGCACAUAUGGAAAGCAUCAGUACAACAAUACAGUUAAGGGGAUAUAUUAGAGUAUGCAGUUACACUUCUGCUAAAUUACUACACUGAGUCAGGUUCUCCUGGAAGAAUCAGGCAUCAAAGUGCUGUAAUGGAAAACAGCAUCCCAGAGCAAGUACUGAGGGCAAUAGAGAAUGGAUUUAUCCAGCUAUUCUGGUCAUCACAAAUAGUCCUGCCUUUGCUGAAUGGUGGGGCUGUGCUGAGUGAUGGCUUCGUUGUGGCUCUCUAAAAUCAUGGACUACUACCUGUAACAGAAUCUUUGACAAAGAUGACUAAACAUGCAUAGCAUACAUUUCCUCUGGCCUUCUGCAACAUCACAGUGGUGGAGUGGAUUUGAAAUGAUCUAUAGUUACACAUCUCUGUGUGACAGAAUAUGUCUAUUUUUCUUAUGGCCACAUUGCUGAGAACUGAGAGCACCAAAGGUCCUCCUGUUCAUGCAGUUCAUAGCUGCAUGUACCUACUCCUUCAGUGCAGGUCCAUGUAUACCCACCUCAGUGCUCUUCAACAAUUCUUCUCAGAAGUCCAUAUUCCAGCACUCCUCACAGGAUAGCUAGGAGAAAGAAAGGAAGGAAGAGUACAGGACAAGUAGCAUUCAUUAUGUGCUGUCAUUUUUAAUAAACAGUUACCUGACUCUUUUUUAACCUUUUGC